rnacentral:rRNA from 1 species
UGGGGAAACCCAGUGUGAUUCGUCACACUAUCAUUAACUGAAUCCAUAGGUUAAUGAGGCGAACCGGGGGAACUGAAACAUCUAAGUACCCCGAGGAAAAGAAAUCAACCGAGAUUCCCCCAGUAGCGGCGAGCGAACGGGGAGGAGCCCAGAGCCUGAAUCAGCAUGUGUGUUAGUGGAAGCGUCUGGAAAGGCGCGCGAUACAGGGUGACAGCCCCGUACACAAAAGCGCAUGUGCUGUGAGCUCGAUGAGUAGGGCGGGACACGUGGUAUCCUGUCUGAAUAUGGGGGGACCAUCCUCCAAGGCUAAAUACUCCUGACUGACCGAUAGUGAACCAGUACCGUGAGGGAAAGGCGAAAAGAACCCCGGCGAGGGGAGUGAAAAAGAACCUGAAACCGUGUACGUACAAGCAGUGGGAGCACCCUUUGGGUGUGACUGCGUACCUUUUGUAUAAUGGGUCAGCGACUUAUAUUCUGUAGCAAGGUUAACCGAAUAGGGGAGCCGGAGGGAAACCGAGUCUUAACCGGGCGUUAAGUUGCAGGGUAUAGACCCGAAACCCGGUGAUCUAGCCAUGGGCAGGUUGAAGGUUGGGUAACACUAACUGGAGGACCGAACCGACUAAUGUUGAAAAAUUAGCGGAUGACCUGUGGCUGGGGGUGAAAGGCCAAUCAAACCGGGAGAUAGCUGGUUCUCCCCGAAAGCUAUUUAGGUAGCGCCUCGUGAAUUCAUCUCCGGGGGUAGAGCACUGUUUCGGCUAGGGGGCCAUCCCGGCUUACCAACCCGAUGCAAACUGCGAAUACCGGAGAAUGUUAUCACGGGAGACACACGGCGGGUGCUAACGUCCGUCGUGAAGAGGGAAACAACCCAGACCGCCAGCUAAGGUCCCAAAGUCAUGGUUAAGUGGGAAACGAUGUGGGAAGGCCCAGACAGCCAGGAUGUUGGCUUAGAAGCAGCCAUCAUUUAAAGAAAGCGUAAUAGCUCACUGGUCGAGUCGGCCUGCGCGGAAGAUGUAACGGGGCUAAACCAUG